rnacentral:rRNA from 1 species
AGAUUGAACGCUGGCGGCAUGCCUAACACAUGCAAGUCGAACGGGAGUAGCAAUACUCUAGUGGCGGACGGGUGAGGAAUACGUAGGAAUUUGCCCUUAAGUGGGGGAUAACCCGGGGAAACCCGGAUUAAUACCGCAUGACCUCGAAAGAGCGAAGUGGGGGAUCGCAAGACCUCACGCUUUUGGAGAAGCCUACGUCGGAUUAGCUAGUUGGUGAGGUAAUGGCUCACCAAGGCGACGAUCCGUAACUGGUCUGAGAGGAUGAUCAGUCACACCGGAACUGAGACACGGUCCGGACUCCUACGGGAGGCAGCAGUGGGGAAUAUUGGACAAUGGGCGCAAGCCUGAUCCCGCAAUGCCGCGUGUGUGAAAGAAGGCCUCGGUUGUUAAAGACGUACUUAAGUUAGGGUAA